AACGAACGCUGGCGGCAGGCUUAACACAUGCAAGUCGAGCGCCCCGCAAGGGGAGCGGCAGACGGGUGAGUAACGCGUGGGAAUCUACCCAUCUCUACGGAAUAACGCAUGGAAACGUGUGCUAAUACCGUAUACGUCCUUCGGGAGAAAGAUUUAUCGGAGAUGGAUGAGCCCGCGUUGGAUUAGCUAGUUGGUGGGGUAAAGGCCUACCAAGGCGACGAUCCAUAGCUGGUCUGAGAGGAUGAUCAGCCACAUUGGGACUGAGACACGGCCCAAACUCCUACGGGAGGCAGCAGUGGGGAAUAUUGGACAAUGGGCGCAAGCCUGAUCCAGCCAUGCCGCGUGAGUGAUGAAGGCCCUAGGGUUGUAAAGCUCUUUCACCGGAGAAGAUAAUGACGGUAUCCGGAGAAGAAGCCCCGGCUAACUUCGUGCCAGCCGCCGCGGUAA
rnacentral:rRNA from 2 species